CGCGGCCUAUCAGCUUGUUGGCGGGGUAACGGCCCACCAAGGCAACGACGGGUAGCUGGUUUGAGAGAACGAUCAGCCACACUGGGACUGAGACACGGCCCAGACUCCUACGGGAGGCAGCAGUGGGGAAUCUUGCGCAAUGGGCGAAAGCCUGACGCAGCAACGCCGCGUGCGGGAUGAAGGCCUUCGGGUUGUAAACCGCUUUCAGCAGGGACGAAAAUGACGGUACCUGCAGAAGAAGCUCCGGCUAACUACGUGCCAGCAGCCGCGGUAAUACGUAGGGGGCAAGCGUUGUCCGGAUUUAUUGGGCGUAAAGAGCUCGUAGGCGGUUCCGUAAGUCGCAAAGUCAAAUCUCUGGGCUCAACCCAGAGUCGCUUUCGAUACUGCGGUGACUAGAGUCCGGUAGGGGAGUGUGGAAUUCCUGGUGUAGCGGUGAAAUGCGCAGAUAUCAGGAGGAACACCGGUGGCGAAGGCGGGUCUCUGGGCAGUAACUGACGCUGAGGAGCGAAAGCGUGGGGAGCGAACAGGAUUAGAUACCCUGGUAGUCCACGCCGUAAAUGGUGGGUACUAGAUGUGGGAUUCCUUCCUUGGGUUCCGUGUCGUAGCUAACGCAUUAAGUACCCCGCCUGGGGAGUACGGA
rnacentral:rRNA from 1 species